rnacentral:rRNA from 1 species
UACGUAGGGGGCUAGCGUUGUCCGGAAUCAUUGGGCGUAAAGAGCGUGUAGGCGGCCCGGUAAGUCCGCCGUCAAAUCCCAGGGCUCAACUCUGGACAGGCGGUGGAAACUACCAAGCUGGAGUACGGUAGGGGCAGAGGGGAUUUCCGGUGGAGCGGUGAAAUGCGUAGAGAUCCGGAGGAACACCAGUGGCGAAAGCGGCCACCUGGACUGCACCUGACGCUGAAACGCGAAAGCUAGGGGAGCGAACGGG